AGCGAUUAAAUUCUCCACUCAAUCUUUGCCAAUUAAGGACCAGAGACGCACGGACGUCAUUAGAGUUUAUUAGUUCGCUGAGAACCUUGUUUCGAAGAUGUUCUUGGCUAAAAGUGUUGCAGAACCAAGCGUGUGAGCUCUCACGUGUGAGGUGUGAAAGAGCAACUUGAAUAAGGACAAAUCAGAGGAAGAAGCGUGGCAAGAGGAGAAAGGCGAAUUCAAAUGUGGUCAUUAGAAGAUAUUUGGCCAGCUUCUUCCUCAUUUCGAUAUCAUACAGAAUCAUUUGUAAAAAAUCUCUUAAAAACUAAAAUAUUCUUGUUCUUGGCUGGGUUUCUCUCAUCUCGAGAGCUGGCUUAUUCAAUUCUGUGUUUCUCGUGAACAUUGGAUUGAUUGUUUGUUAUUGGAGUUGAAUUGAAGCGAUUUUGUUCGAUUGUGAAAUUUGUUGUAUUAAAGGUAUAGAACGAAGACGCUCCUUAUAAACUAUGCUAGAAACGCGAUCUUGUACGGUGGAGGCGACGAAGAAGAAGGAACCUCUGAAGGAAGAUCCGGAGGAGAUUCCGGUAGAAGAGAGAGUUUCACGAUUGGAGGAAUUGGUGGCUGAUCAACAUAGCGAGACCAUGAAACAUAUGGCAGAUCUGUUUGAAGUGAUGAAGAGAUCUACGGCCAACAAGACUUCACAAGCUCAAACUAACCAAUUCCCAGUGAUCCUAGGUCUGCGACAUCGAUUGACAUUCAAUCGGAAUUUUCAGAUCCACGACACGAUGGAAGACCGUAAAUGCUCUCCGCGCGCUCAUCCUAACGCUAAGGUUUUUAAGGUAAGGUUUCGGGUCUGAGGAGAAAUGGACGGGGAGGGGGGGGGUUAUAUAGCCUCCCAAGGUCGGUGGAAGCAAGCAGGACGUGGCACAUGACGGUCCUUGAUGCGACACAUGGCGGACACUCUUCGCAGCUCGGGUGGCGACACAUGGCGAACGGAUAAGGACGAUGGUUUUGGAUAAGCAUCACGGCCAUAUGGAUAAGGAUGGAUGAUGAUCGGAUAAGCAUCACCUUGGGGACAGUCCUGACUGUCCAUUCCCUUAGCUAGCGUCCUUACAUCACGACCGUCCGUCCGUUAGCGUACCGGUACGGUCGUGUCCGACCACCGGGUACCAAACUGGUGGGUGAAACGUAAGGGUACCUGCUCGCGUACCAGCUUAAGAGAAUGAUACGUACCGGACCAGUCCUUUAUUCGUGCAAAUUACCGAGGGUAACCCGCAUCGACCGGCGAUACCACUAUUCGCCUCACCGAUGACCAUUCCGGACUGGUCGGUGCCACCAUUACCCGGGCUACAAAUGACAAUCCGCAUCAGUUAGUACCACCAUAGUCUAGAUUACUAAUGGUAACCCGCAUUAGCAUGUACCGCCACUGUCCGAAUCGCCUACGUCUGCUGGUAUUACCAUGGCCAACCAUCAAACUUAGUCCAAAAUUCCUUAACCCUCCUAAAUUCCUAGACCAGCUAAGGCUUCCUAGAUAGGUCUAAUCCUAAGAUCUUACCUAUAGGUUCCUCGACCAACUUAGGGACAUUGUCAAUAGCCUGGCCUUCCAUACCAUUUUUCCCAUUUGACGGAGAAUCAAUCCUGAUAUGGCAUUUCCUUCUUGGUCCUUUGGUGUGCCUCAUCACUCCCUUGUAUUGCCCCUUUGAAUGUCCGAGGAAAAAUUAUCCUUCCUUAACAGAAUAAUGGGUUUUAGUUAGCCGGGCGUGGCAAGGCUGUUCCGUCCGAGCAUUAGUCGCGGGGAGGGGUAUUACACCUCCGGUGCCAAGCUUUGGGCACACGAGUAGUUCGAGAAGCCGAUGGCGCAAUCGAUCACCGUGCACCAAAAGGACUAUAAGUACCCAUCUCUUAUGUGUGCUAAGCCUAUGAGGUUGGUUGGUUGUAAGGCUAAGUCACAAAGGGAUGGGUCAAGGGUAAAGUUACAGUCCGCUGCGUAUAGAAGUUUACAAAGCAAGGCCACGAGCCAAGGCUAAGUAAACAAGUCAAAUCAAUGGAUGUUCGGCCGGGAAUGGGGGCCGAACGAAAGUUGUGAUCAUGGACGCCGAGACGCUUGGGUUGGGGUCUUUCAACCUUCCAUUCACUUGCCUUAUUUACCAGGGGAAUCAAAAGUUGUUGUGGUUACCAGGUCUUUGCAGGAGAGGGAGAACAUGUUGUUGCUUCUUAAGUUUCAUCUCUUAUGCGCACAACAUCGUAUGAAGUAAAUAGCAGAUCGAAGUCGUACAGAACGUGAGUUUUCAAUUGGUGACUUUGUUUAUGUGAAGUUGCAGCCAUACAGACAACAUUCGGUGAUUAUGAGGGCGAAUAAGAAGUUAGCUCCAAAGUAAUAUGGUCCAUAUAAGAUCUUGGAUAAAUGUGGUGCAGUGGCUUAUCAUUUAAAGUUACCUUCAUCUUCUCAAAUCCAUCUUGUAUUCCAUGUUUUACAGCUCAGGGUGUUAGUGGGUAAUGUUUCUACUACAACUCAAUUACCUAUUGUUAUGUCAAAUGUGUUUAGGAAGGAAUUGGCAAAGAUCCUUGAGAGGAAGAUGGUGAAUCGCCAGGGUCGUGCUGUGACUAAGGUGUUGGUUCAGUGGUUACAUGAACCGGAGGAAGAGGCAACUUGGGAGUUUCUUUUUGAUCUUCAGAAGAGAUUCCAAGAGUUUGAUGCUUAAACCUUGUGGUCAAGGUUCUGUAGAAGGGGGAGAUGUGUUGCAGAACCAAGCGUGUGAGCUCUCACGUGUGAAAGAGCAACUUAAUAAGGACGAAUCAGAGGAGGACAUGUGGCAAGAGGAGAAAGGCGAAUUCAAAUGUGGCCGUUAGAAGAUAUUUAGCCAGCUUCUUCCUCAUUUCGAUAUGAUACUGAAUCAUUUGUAAAAAAUCUUUUAAAAACUGAAAUACUCUUGUUCUUCGAUAGGUUUCUCUCAUCUCGAGAGCUGGCUUAUUCAAUUCUAUGUUUCUCGUGAACAUAGGAUUAAUUGUUCGUUAUUGGAGUUUAAUUGAAGCAAAUUGUGUUCGAUUGUGAAAUUUGUUGUAUUAAAAAGCCUACCAUAUUCGUGAGACAAACCCGCACGAGAAAAAAAUAAAUGGUCACGAGAUUCGAUAGUGUUGUUGCAAAGGAGCAUUUGAUCUCCUGUUGAGGGCCGGUUUCUUACCGCUAACAGACAUUGAGACACAAAACGAGAAUUUUGGUGUUGCGUGAGAAAACAAGACUUCUUUGAGUCAAGCUACCAUAUUUUAAGUGAUGCGUGUAUGAUUCCAAGUGUCCUUGGUGGUGGAGCUUGGUCGAUACACGUUGUUUUCACCUCUCUAUAGUAGUAUGGUACAAUGUCCUUUGCUGUUUGCGGGUUUGUCUUUUUAAAGCUAGAGUUUCUUCUAUGCGAUAGUCAUUUUCUUUCUCAUCCCCAUACCGAUUUGUCGCCAUUCACCAACAAACGUCUAUCAGCCUACCCAUGGUAGACCAAUCAUCAUACCAAUAUGAUGUCCGAGCCCCAUUUUUUACUUCCACUUUACAGAAUUUCUUGGCUACAUUACAUCUUUGUGUUUGAUUAGUUUUCUCCACAUCCACGAUCCCAUACUUGUGGUUUGGUUUGUUUCAUUGACCAAAACGUAGGUAUAUCUCAAGAUUAAUCUUGUAAUAAUCAUAUAAUGAAUCAUAUGAUGUCUUUAGUAAAUUCUUUAAUUACAUAAUUAAUUUUAUUA